ACAGCAGUCGCCGCGGGAAUACGUAGGGUGCAAGCGUUAUCCGGAAUCAUUGGGUUUAAAGGGUCCGUAGGCGGUCUUGUAAGUCAGUGGUGAAAGCCCAUCGCUCAACGGUGGAACGGCCAUUGAUACUGCAGGACUUGAAUUAUUGGGAAGUAACUAGAAUAUGUAGUGUAGCGGUGAAAUGCUUAGAGAUUACAUGGAAUACCAAUUGCGAAGGCAGGUUACUACCAAUUGAUUGACGCUGAUGGACGAAAGCGUGGGUAGCGAACAGGAUUAGAUACCCGAGUAGUCCCUGUCUCUUAUAC
rnacentral:rRNA from 1 species